rnacentral:rRNA from 1 species
UCCACGCCCUAAACGAUGUACACUAGUUGUUGGGAUGCAAGUCAUCCCAGUGAUGCAGUUAACACAUUAAGUGUACCGCCUGGGGAGUACGGUCGCAAGAUUAAAACUCAAAGGAAUAGACGGGGACCCGCACAAGUGGUGGAGCAUGUGGUUUAAUUCGAAGAUACGCGAAGAACCUUACCUGGGCUUGACAUCCCGAGAAUCACCCCAGAGAUGGGUGAGUCCAGUUAC